UACGAAGGGUGCAAGCGUUAAUCGGAAUUACUGGGCGUAAAGCGUGCGUAGGUGGUUUCUUAAGUCUGCUGUGAAAGCCCUGGGCUCAACCUGGGAAUGGCGGUGGAUACUGAGGAGCUAGAGUGCGGUAGAGGAGGGUGGAAUUCCCGGUGUAGCGGUGAAAUGCGUAGAGAUCGGGAGGAACAUCAGUGGCGAAGGCGGCCCUCUGGACCAGCACUGACGCUGAGGUGCGAAAGCGUGGGGAGCAAACAGG
rnacentral:rRNA from 1 species